GACGAACGCUGGCGGCGUGCUUAACACAUGCAAGUCGAGCGGUAAGGCCCUUUCGGGGGUACACGAGCGGCGAACGGGUGAGUAACACGUGGGUGACCUGCCCUCAGCUCUGGGAUAAGCCUGGGAAACUGGGUCUAAUACCGGAUAUGACUCCAUGACGCAUGUUGUGGGGUGGAAAGCCUUGUGCGGCUGAGGAUGGGCCCGCGGCCUAUCAGCUUGUUGGUGGGGUGAUGGCCUACCAAGGCGACGACGGGUAGCCGGCCUGAGAGGGCGACCGGCCACACUGGGACUGAGACACGGCCCAGACUCCUACGGGAGGCAGCAGUGGGGAAUCUUGCGCAAUGGGCGAAGGCCUGACGCAGCGACGCCGCGUGAGGGAUGACGGCCUGG
rnacentral:rRNA from 1 species